ACAGCAAUGAGAUGCAAUGGCUUUUGAUCAGCUCAGCCCUUCCUCAGCAAGCCUUACACAGAGAGAUAGCCGUGUUCUUGAUGAUGCUCUGGCCCUUGGGUGAGGCCCCACAGUUCUUGCACAGUGAGACAAUGGGUGAAGACAUUGUGGACUUGCCUGUAUCUGCUUGGGGCCAAUGUGGAAUUUGUUGAGGACAUUGCUGAGGAACUUCUGUACCUCGUGCCAGGGGUAGAUACUGUUUGAUCCAUCCAACAGGAUCACAAUGUCCAUGGAGACACCACAAUCUGUAAAAGGGACAGAGAGUAUUACAGAGAUGUAAAUAUACAGUUAACACAGAAAGUAGGAUUAAGUGUACCAAGAUCUCUAGGCUUGAUAUUUAGACCCUCUCCCAGAGCUUAACAGUCCAGUUCUGCCAUCAUAACACUGAUAUCUCAAAGCAUCCCUAAAUCACACUGUGGUCUGUUUUAUCACUGGUGUAAUAAAGGGUUGUAUUAAU